GAAGGUGCUCAGAGAGGGAAGCCGGACAGGACGAGAGUUGAGUCUCCUGCAGGAUGCCACGGAUUAUUUAGUGGAGGCGGGUGUGCUAGGGUGACUCAAAAGUGGGAGGAGUUUUAAAUAUGAAAAGGGAACUUUUCCCUCGAGUACGGAAAACUGAAUUACAUGAAGGCCAUGAGGAUGCAUAUAAAUGUAUGUGAAGAAGAAAAAUAAAACACAGACAAGUGCAGGAAGAGGCCCAUCUCUUUUGAAGAACACAUCUUAUCCCAGAGGACUUCUCCCCCUCGAUGUUGCUCCAAAUCAGCAGACAACAUGCUUCUCAUUACCGAGGGGAAAGCAGGCUGUGAGAGUGCGGCUAAGGAAAAUACAAGAAAAUAUGUGAAAUAGGAGUCCUGUGAAAGAAAAACUGUGCAACGGAGACCACUCUCCUCUCUGUACAUCAUCAUCACCAAGCUGCAAUGUCGCUUCCUACACGACCGUCGUCAACAAACCUUUUUUCUUUUCACCAUGUUGGCAACGGUUUGACACCACAAUAGAGUAUUUCUAUUACCGAAAACAGAACAUCAUUAAGUGCCCCUCCCACCACAGCAAAGAAUUUUUCCACGUCAUUCCCAGCUGAAGUAUUUGUACUUGAACUUAAGCACUGACCCCGCCUCUCAUCAAGACUCUCCUUCCUUUAGCAUCUUUACCGAAAGAGCAAUGGCCAAAAUGACGACAGAGAGGACCGGGAAGAAACUCGGACCUCAUCGUUGUCAUCAUCAACCAGAUGAGGAAAGUCAAACUUGAGUCGUGUCUGUCCCCAUCAGGCUGGCUGACAGUCAUAAAUGCGUCUCUUACUCACUCUGCUCAUCAAUUAUACACAGGCCAAAGGAGCCCUGAGAGGCAGGAGGCUACAAAAGGGCCCUCCGCACGCGUCCCCCCCCCCUGCCUCGCCACGCAUCGCGGCACUCCGCGCUCAGCCCUCAUCAUCAAUGCUCUCCUGUAUUGCUUUAGAGAUCAAGAGGCAGCUUCUCAUCCUGCCUUUAGCCAACGCAGAUAUGUGCGGAACAUUUCACGGUGAGCUGAAGGUUAUAUAACCUCAGCAAUGACACCGUUUUGGAACGGCGUACAUCUGUGGACUGCUUGGUCAUACUCAAAACACGCCAUGUUUUAUGUAAAAGGAAGAUGUAAUCCUAUUGGCUGCUUAUUUCGGAAACACUUCACCGACGUGAUUCCCGUGUAGCUAACAAUACAACACGAGGAGAAUUGAACGUGGAAGUUAAAUGAAGGACAGCGUACAACUGCUGCUUAUGAUGAAGACAAAGCGAAAGCACUAUUACAUGAUGAUACAUUAUGAUGCUAAUCCUGACAAGCACAGCUGCUGCGCAUCCAUUCAUGACUGAUCCGGACCACAAGUCUUUUCCAUAUCUGGAAAUGCAGCUGGCUUUGGGAGAGCCCAUUCAAAGACAUGGCUGAAGGAGGAAGCAUCCAUGCCAGAGUUAGCGUGACAUGUCCAUGUGUGUGUGCCCGUGCGUGAGCGAGCUGGACAGACAAAAAACACAACCUUAGGUAAUCUGACCUGAGCAGGCAGCCAAACACAAAGCCGCUGAGUCAGCCGGAUCCAUCAAGCUUAGGCUAACAGCUUCAUUCGCACAAACAUGGAGCCUGACAAUAUUAGUUCUUGUACUUUGCUUAUCUCAUUUAGGUUUCAAUGAGUUCAUGUCUGUAUAGUACUCGACAUUUGGAUUAGUUUAGUCAGCAGUGAGACAAAACCAUGACAUCACUGGCCUGUAGGCAGAGGAAACUGGACAAACAUGCAGUAUACAAAAAUAAUUUCCAGUGGUACAAUACCAUUUUAACAAUCUGUUAAUGGUUCCAGUUUGAGCUACUGCAAUUUUGUAAAAUCAGCAAGAUUAUUUGGGGAAAGCCUCAGCUCCUGUAUUGAUGCUAAUUAGCUUAUGCAAGACUCAAUUACAACAAUUGUGUAUCAACGUGUCUCCGCCAAAUGACAUUCCAAGACAAUAAGUGAAAUGGGAGGAGAAGACGUCACAGGGAAGAGAGAACAUGCAGCAAUUCUUAGAAACCGCUCAAGUGUAAAAAAAUGGGAGGGGGUGGGAGCAUGAGCAAAGUACACCAGGCCAAUCAUAUUUCAAGGGCAAAUGUGUUUAAUCAUCUGAGAAAGGGUUGCUCACUUCAGAUAGCAACGAGAUGGCCACAAAUGCCAAUCACUACCGCGCAGUGAUGCGGGCCUACAAAUGAACAAUUGUAAAAGUCGAUGUUGCGUCUUUUUCGACCUGCAUUGCGGGAUUUAGCCAUCUGCUUCUUCUUCUUUGACAAUCGUGCCAUGUUUUGGUGGUUCGAUUAACAAUUGUGCAGCUUUGCCACAUUUGCUUUCAGUCAUGUCACCCAUGCCUUACUGUACGUGUUUGUGCUGUUUUCACAGCGGCUAGUGGAAACAUUGAUGCUAAUAUGCCUUUGCUAAUUGGGGCUCCCGAGGGCAUGAGUUCGGAACGUACACCCAGACAAUUUAAAAAAAAAAAAAAUGCACGGACUAAGUGUUUCAUAAACAAGGAAUGGAAAUAGAGUACAAAUAUUUUUGCAUAAUCUCUGAACAUUGAAUAGAAUUGUGAGUUAGUGGGAAAAGCAAAAUCACGAGCUUAUUUAGUGUUCCUCUUGCAUUUUCUUUUGCCCGUACAACGCUGAUGACACAAUGUGAAUAUGAUGAAGCAUUGUCUAUAAAUAACAGCUACCGCAAUUGUUCAGCUGAUGGAAAAGCAUCGAAAGGGAAAGUAUGCUGGCUAAAUGGCCAAAGGGGCCAUCCAGCACACAGAUGCACAGAAUCUGCCCGCUGAAAUGAGUCUCGGGCCAAACACAAUAGCAAAGCUGGACAUUAGCUCAUUAAAACAGGUCGCCCCAUUGCUUAAUGUCAAUUUAUAGAAUCGCCAUGUGAAUAAUUCCAUGUCAAUCAAAUUGUACUGAGGAACCGCCAUAUUGGUUCGAUUUGUAAGAUACAUCGAUGGUACAUGGUCAACAUAACCGAGCUGACCACAAUUAUUUUAUAAUAUGUUAAAAAUGAAUGUCGUCAUUUAGCCGUAUACUGCAAAAGUAAAACUGACACAGCAUGUGUGAGGCACAAGAACGAUGAGCCAAGCUGUGGAUGCUUUCCAAGUUUUGAUAGUUGAACAAGAGAAGCAAUGGAUCCCUCAUUCCCCAAAUCCCUCUCAUCCUUUCAUCUUGUGGUAGUGCAAUGUACCCUCCAGAGAGUUUAGGCUUUAACAGGGAGCCCACCAGUCAAAUCCUUCCUUAAUCAGGUUGGAAGUGUUUCUCGUUGGAAGAAAAGAGAGCACCCCGUCAAUCAUGGCGAUCAGGAUUUGGAAGCAGAAUGACAAUUGAAAGCCUUCUCGAUAUAAUUUUGGUAACUCCAGUUCAAGUAUGGCAAAGUUUCAGAAACAAUGUGGUUUUGUUUCAUUUGCAAAAAGUUAUUCUCUUCAUCUAGACAUAGUACACUGAUUUAAAAUGUAAAUAAAUAAAUACAUAAGUAAAUAAAGACACACCCACACAACGUCGGUAUAGAGCACUACAUUAGAAGAUUUAUUACCAGUAAUAUUAUGCAUGAUCACGAGCAAGAAUGCGUAACAAACCUUUAUGCAAAUCAGAAUAGUACUUUGUCACACAGAUGGUAAUUAAUUAGUUGAAAUUGUGAAUGGUGCCACUCACAGCUUUACAAACCUGCAAAUGGAUUGCAAAUGUAAAUUGCGUGUAGCACACGUGACGUAGAUAAUUAUAGAUUAUCUAAAAAUGUCAUGAGAUAUAAAAAAAAAAAAAAAAAAGGAAUCUUCUGAAAGAGAU